rnacentral:rRNA from 1 species
GAGCGAACUGAUUAGAAGCUUGCUUCUAUGACGUUAGCGGCGGACGGGUGAGUAACACGUGGGCAACCUGCCUGUAAGACUGGGAUAACUUCGGGAAACCGAAGCUAAUACCGGAUAGGAUCUUCUCCUUCAUGGGAGAUGAUUGAAAGAUGGUUUCGGCUAUCACUUACAGAUGGGCCCGCGGUGCAUUAGCUAGUUGGUGAGGUAACGGCUCACCAAGGCAACGAUGCAUAGCCGACCUGAGAGGGUGAUCGGCCACACUGGGACUGAGACACGGCCCAGACUCCUACGGGAGGCAGCAGUAGGGAAUCUUCCGCAAUGGACGAAAGUCUGACGGAGCAACGCCGCGUGAGUGAUGAAGGCUUUCGGGUCGUAAAACUCUGUUGUUAGGGAAGAACAAGUACAAGAGUAACUGCUUGUACCUUGACGGUACCUAACCAGAAAGCCACGGCUAACUACGUGCCAGCAGCCGCGGUAAUACGUAGGUGGCAAGCGUUAUCCGGAAUUAUUGGGCGUAAAGCGCGCGCAGGCGGUUUCUUAAGUCUGAUGUGAAAGCCCACGGCUCAACCG